GGGGGAGGGGUGCGUGCCGGAGGGUGGGCAUGGAGGAGGAUCUGAAUGCUCACGGUGAGAAAUUGACAUCUGACACAUAAGGGCACUUGGGACUCACUCCGGUCUUCGGGAGUGGGGAUGUUACAGGAUCAAAACCAGGGACCAGAAACGCCAUUCUGGCAGCUGUGCCAAUGGAUGGCUGGGGCAGGGGAGCAGCAGAGGGAGGAGGCUGGAGACAGGGAGGCAGGGAGGCUGCCCUCGCUUGUUCCAGCCAGAAGACACUUCACUGAUCUCUGCCUGGGGAGGCUGGGCUUGCACGGAGGCUGUGACAGCGCACAUUUGAGAGGAAAGCCCCCUGGAUGGCUGCAACAUCUCAGCAACUUCAGAGCCAAGAGGAAACUCACUUUUGUGUGUGGUUCCUGCUUGCAGACCAGAUAUCAGCCAUUGUCAGAGGAUUACAGUCGGCCCAGGUUUGAAGGAGAAAUAUACACUUACACAGGCGCAGGGUCUACUGCAUUCAGACUUGGUGAUCAUGCAGGAAUGUUCCAGUGUGAAAUCCACAUUCACACUGAAAAAAGAGAACGAAAUGUAGGUGAAUAGUGAGAACGAAAUCAUGGGGGUUUGCUUAAAGUACUUGAGAACAAGCAACAUUCAAGGCAUUUAAAAAAUAUUCUUUGCAAAGUAUGAAUGUGCUGGUUACAACAAUGCAAAAAUUUAAAGGAGCUCCUACAAUAACUUGAUUUGUUAACACAUCUAGAUGAGGAAUUCUAGACAAGUGAUGUUCUGGAUAAUUGCUUUACGAAAAUCCAAACAAACUGAACCCUCUUGUUUUAGUAAUCACUCUGGAGGGUUUAUGGGAGAGGGUUCUCUUAGAGACACGUUACUGACCUGUCCAACAGAACGGUGGUCCCCUCAGAGUCACCGAGAAGUCCCGACGCUGAGCUUUCUGUAGUUGAUAUAUUUGAUUUCUCUUCCCUCUUGGCCACCUCUGUGCUCCAUCAUCCUGUCCUUUGAUUGACAUUGUAUUUGCUGUCAUUUCUACUUCUGUCAUCAUAACUGUCUAAAAUUUGAUUCCUUGUUCUCUGUUUUUCUCCUUCAUUAUUUUAGUCUCCG
rnacentral:lncRNA from 1 species